AUUCCUACGGGACGCAGCAGUAGGGAAUCUUCCACAAUGGACGAAAGUCUGAUGGAGCAACGCCGCGUGAGUGAAGAAGGGUUUCGGCUCGUAAAGCUCUGUUGGUAGUGAAGAAAGUGCGUGAGAGUAACUGUUCACGUUUCGACGGUAUCUAACCAGAAAGCCACGGCUAACUACGUGCCAGCAGCCGCGGUAAUACGUAGGUGGCAAGCGUUAUCCGGAUUUAUUGGGCGUAAAGGGAACGCAGGCGGUCUUUUAAGUCUGAUGUGUAAGCCUUCGGCUUAACCGGGGUAGUGCAUU
rnacentral:rRNA from 1 species